GCCAGGCGUGGUGGCGCGUGCCUGUAAUCCCAGCUACUCAGGAGGCUGAGGCAGGAGAAUCACUUGAACCCAGGAGGGGGAGGUGUGAUCUGAGAUCACACCACCGCACUCCAGCCUGGAUGACAGAGUGAGACCCUGUCUCAA
rnacentral:sRNA from 1 species